rnacentral:rRNA from 1 species
GGAGACUCUGUGCGCGUGCAUAUCAAUAAGCGGAGGAAAAGAGACUAACAAGGAUUCCCUUAGUAACGGCGAGUGAAGCGGGAAGAGCUCAAAUUUGAAAUCUUCAAGGUUUUACCUUGACGAAUUGUAGUUUAAAGAAGUGUUUUCUGUUGGAGUUUUGGUAAAAGUUCUUUGGAAUAGGACAUCAUAGAGGGUGAGGAUCCCGUAUUUGACCAUUAUUUCCAACUUUGUGAUACACUUUCAAAGAGUCGGAUUGUUUGGGAAUGCAGUCCAAAAUGGGUGGUAAAUUUCAUCUAAAGCUAAAUACUUGGCGAGAGACCGAUAGCGAACAAGUACCGUGAGGGAAAGAUGAAAAGAACUUUGAAAAGAGAGUUAAACAGUACGUGAAAUUGUCAAAAGGGAAGCGUUUGACACCAGUGUUGUUUUUCCGAAAAUCAAUUACGAAUGUUUUGUUUCUGAGGAGUGAUGACUUCAUCGGCUUCCUUCUCUCUUCACGAAACUUUUGUAAUGCACUUUUCGGUUAACAAGUCAACAUCAAUUUCUUUUGUUGUAAAAGAGUAUUCGGAAGGUGGCUUUCUUUUCGGAGAAAGUGUUUAUAGCCCUAUACUUCUACAAUCGGAGAGAUUGAGGUCUGCAGCGUAGAUCCUUCGGGGUUAGAUACAUUUGUGCUAAGUUAUAGCUUUUCAUAGACAACUUGUUGACUAUGUUUAGUCUUGUAGCUUACUCGCUUAUGCUAUUUUACCUACGCUUAGGAUGUUGAGUCGUAGAGCACGCAG